rnacentral:rRNA from 1 species
AUUGAACGCUGGCGGCAGGCCUAACACAUGCAAGUCGAGCGAGCGGCGGACGGGUGCGUAAUGUAUGGGGACUGCCCGAUAGCGGGGGAUAACUACUGGAAACGGUAGCUAAUACCGCAUACUAUCGGAUAACCCAUAUGGGAUUAGCUAGUUGGUGAGGUAAUGGCUCACCAAGGCGACGAUCCCUAGCUGUGCUGAGAGGAGGAUCAGCGACACUGGGAAUGAGACACGGCCCAGACUCCUACGGAGGAAGCAGUGGGGAAUAUGGAACAAGGGGCGCAAGCCUGAUGCAGCCAUGCCGCGUGUAUGAAGAAGGCCCUAGGGUUGUAAACCUCUUUCGCUAUAGAACGGGUAGGUGGAGAAGAAGCGCCGGCUAACUACGUGCCAGCAGCCGCGGUAAUAC